GUCAAGAACAGCUCGUACACCUCGAGGACCGCG
rnacentral:sRNA from 1 species